CUUGGAGCCAGACUAUAAAUUGGGACAGCUGAGCUUGCAGAAUCCAGACAACCAAACUCCAUCAAUCAAGAGGAACUUAAUCCAGGGAGGGUUCUUCUGCUCACUGGGUCAGAAGCAUCCGAUUUCCUGUCAUCGGUUGCGGUUCAGCCAUGUUAAUACUGAAAGUAUAAGAAUAUCAUAAUCCCAGAGUGAUAUAAAGACCUUUCCAAGGAAGAUGAGAUACCCGGAGGCUGUGAAGGAGAAGUCUGAAGGAUUUGAACGCGUUCAAAUGAAAACCUUUGGUUCAGCAAAACACCAGAAACAAAUUCAAAAGAUAAAAUACACUCCGGAGAAGCCCAUUCUCUCAACGCAUCUGACAGUUCACAAAGAGCAACUGCAGUCCAACUUAAAAAAUAAAGAAAAUGGUAGGAAAAUGGGCAACAUGCACUGAGGCAAUAUAUAAGAAGAAGGAAUGCGCAAUUAAUCAACAAAAGCCUGCUCUUUCCUAACGAGUGAAGAUACAAGCUUAGUAAAUAUUAAAAUUUAUUGAAGAUAAAAAUGGACACUUCCGGCCAUAUAUAAAAGCAUUGUUGGUAAGAGAGUGGGGUAAUUGACAUGCUCCUGGGAAAUAAUACGCAUUCAGACAACCUCUAAUGAGUGAAUCCACUGGGGGUAUCCACUAGGAAUAGAAAACGACCACCAAUGCCCAAGUUUGUGGUCCAGAAUUUGAGCAGCGAUCUAACAAAGUAGAGUCUCCCCCUGUGUCAUGGGCCCCACUUCUUAAGCAAAGAAGAAUGCCUCAUUUUGGUAACUCACCCAAAUAAACAGAAAUUUUUUUUGAUAAUCUUAUCGCAUUUAUUUGGUUAAGUCUGAGGCAGAAUAUUUUUCUCCUUUGUAUCUUUGUUUUGUUUUGUUUUAAUCCUUGAAGUUUAUUACCAAACUACAUCUUGGUGUUUCUUCAGGAUGUGAACAGGCCUUUCUAUUCUCAAUUAAGUGUUUCUUUCCUUUAAUUCAGGAAUCUUCUAAUCAUGUAUUUUAAUUUCUUUUUCUGUCAUCCCUCCCCACGCCAUAAGCUACCAGUCACUAUACAUGUUGGAGCUCUCUUUAUUGUGCCAUAGAUCUCUGAUGUCAUGUCUUUAGUCAUUAUUUUGUGUCAGAAAUUUUUGUUCUUCCGGGGACAUCUGGCAAUAUCUAGAGACAUGCUACUGGCACCUAUAGAAAUGCUAGUGACUUAUUAUGGGUAGAGGCUAAAGAUGCUGCUAAAUAUCCUACAAUGCCCAGGACAGCCACUGCCACAACAAAGAAUUAUGCAGUCCACAAUGUCCAUAGUGCUAAGGAGAAGAAACCCUGUCCUAGGGUCAAGGUUGGAUGCUGACAAGACUAAUUUCAAGUGAUUUCAAACGAUUGUGGGGAAAAUACCCAGAAGUUGACAGGAGCAAUAUGUAGAUAUUUCCUUCUGUAAAUUAUAUUUCCCUAAUGCUAAUGCUGGAGCAUUUGGAAACACGUGUAUAAAUAUUUGAAGCACAAAACCAGAGAGAUGCUCUUAUGUAUUUAGCUUCUAGUUUUAAAUAAUAGAUACUACAAUAAACCUUGAUUAAACCUUGAUUAUCUGAUAUGCUCUGGGUUUGUGCUUUUUGUGUGGGUUACAUUUUCUAGUUAAUGAAUGUUUAACCACAAAAUAUUUUUGUUUCAAGCUUUGCUUUGCAAAAAUAUAGCAUUUCUAACUGAGGUGCUUGUAAUGUCCCUGGAUUAUGAAGUAAGUUGAAAACCCUGAAAUUCUAUAUAAAUAAAGGAGGGGAGCGUAUUAUGG
rnacentral:lncRNA from 1 species